rnacentral:tRNA from 1 species
AUCGGGGUAGUUCUAUAUUAGAAUAAUAGUUUGAUUAAGCUGAAGGUGCCUGAUUUUCAGGCCCCCGGUU